GGGGUUGUUUAGUUUCGACAAGUUGUACGUUUAAAAUAGGCAAGCUGAGGAUGAUAAUCUCUCAUAAAAAAAUUAUCAAGUUAUAAGUGCAAACUUCAUAACAAAAGCAAAAUCAGUAAUGGCGCAAGCUUUUACUUCUAAUUUUGCGUUCGCUACCGCUUAAUCCCUAACCGGAUCUGGUAGUCAUCAAUCUAUUGAUUUCUAAUAAAUAGUCUUGGUGUCAUAUAUUAGGAUAGCCCAAAAAGUUCCCCGAAAUUUUUUAGGCGAAACUAAAUUCGGGACGGAUAUAAAAGAUUUUGAUAGCUUUAACUUUUUUAUUCCGGCUGCAAAGCAAACUUAAGUUAUCUAAGCUUGUAGAUUAUUUUGAAUAAACAAUUAUGGACGCGAGUGCAAUUCUCGCCAACUCCACAA
rnacentral:tmRNA from 2 species